ensembl:lncRNA
AAUGAAUCAAGGAAUAGGGCAGCAAAAUCUUCCUGUGGUGUUUACCUCUUGUACUCCUUGAUCAUUCUCUCUUUAGCUACAUUUCAAGGCGCAGCCUGAGUCUUGGUGUGCAGAAUAUCAUCCCAUGAGGCAGUGCUGAGACAUCUUCAUCUACAGAAAAGAGUGAGCCCUGCAAAGAGGAUUUUCCAACAUUACAGCAAGAUUGAGUAUCUCAGCCCAGACAAUGGGCUCCUGCCUCCAGGAGUGUGCGACUGAAAUAAAUCCACUGACUUGAGCAGCCCUGCUCCAUCGCAACCGAGAGCCGAAGCUGG